rnacentral:lncRNA from 1 species
UGAGAAGCCUUUGAGGAAGUGGCAGAAGCCAGGGAAAGUAGAUGACAUGAUCAGAGAUUGUGAGAUGACUUUUAUUCAGGCAGGACAUCAUGUUUCCGAAAGGCUUUGCUCAGAGGCAGGAGAAAGGCUUGAAGACUAGAAUGAGAAAGAAGGUUGGUCUGAAGCUCCCUUCAAGAGAACAGUCCAUCUGCAUCUCUUCAACUGUGCUGGUCUGCAAGAAAAACAGGAGUCUUGAGUUAUCUGGGAACUUCGCUGGGAAUGUGGGGAGAAAGGAUAAGCUGAGGAGGGCUAUUUGGAGUUUGCUUUGCCUGAUGGUAGCAGAAGAAAACCAGCAAUAAGCCUCCUUUCACGUGUUCAUUAUGGUCUACAGCUGAGGAGGGCUAUCUAGGGUUUGCUUUGCCUGAUGGUGGCAGAAGAAAACCAG